UACGUAGGGGGCAAGCGUUGUCCGGAUUCAUUGGGCGUAAAGGGCGCGUAGGCGGCGCGGUAAGUCACUUGUGAAAUCUCUGAGCUUAACUCAGAACGGCCAAGUGAUACUGCAGUGCUAGAGUGUGGAAGGGGCAAUCGGAAUUCUUGGUGUAGCGGUGAAAUGCGUAGAUAUCAAGAGGAACACCUGAGGUGAAGACGGGUUGCUGGGCCAACACUGACGCUGAGGCGCGAAAGCCAGGGGAGCAAACGGG
rnacentral:rRNA from 1 species